AUGGCCCUCGGGAAUCCUGAGCACCCUGGACGGACACGAGGCACGCCAGGCUCCGUUCCGUGGAAGGCUGGUUUUCCGGACGCGGGCGGUUACAAAACCCAGGAGAGGAGGAAAAAAGUGGAGCAUAUCCAAAUUCAGCGUCUGCACGAAAGGGUUCAAGUGCUAGAGGAACGAGACAACAAUAGAGAUGCCGAAACUGCCCCCGAAGCUACACCGCCAUCUCAGCGUAGAAGCAGCGUGGCUUCCACCGAGCUGACUCAGCUGGAGCAUGCGGCUACUCCUAGCUACCCCGUGGAUGCUAUCACGGAGUCUCAACAUUGCCACCUUAUGGCGGAAUGGCAGAACUUGAAAGUCAAGGCGGCUGUUGGCUCUGUUUUACCUACUGAACCCGGCGCAACCUACCACUGUCGGCCGAUUCCUGAAGGAUAUGCUAGGGUGAUGGUGGAUGAAAUAACGGAGGGAUUUGAGGACCUCCAGCUUGACCACCCUACCGGUGAAGGGGAGACUCGGCUGGGUUUAGCUCUGAAGACUCCAUGCCUAUGGCGGAAGGAGCUCAUCAAGCUUCCGAACUGGACGGCUCCGGCGAGUAAGGGCACUCCGCCUCCUCCUCCGGCGAGUGAUCAGGGCACUCAGCCUCCUUCUCCGGCGCGUGGCGGCACUCCGCCUCCUUCUCCGCCAGCGCCGGCGUGCCAGAGCAGCCAGCCUCCUCCUUCUCUGCCUCGUCAGCAAGGGCGGAAGAGACCCGCCGCUGCGGCUGCUCCGGCGCGUCGUAGUCCUUCUCCUCCGCCUCGUAAGCAAGGAAAGAAGACAGCCGCAGCCGCUCCGUCUGCUCUGCCGGCGUCUAGCAGUACAGCUGCCAGAGGCGGGAGGCAAUACAGAUUCGGUCCUUCUCUGAAGACUCCAGAGAAGUUGCCAUAUGAGAGGACCGAGGAGGAGAACGCGAAGAUCGUGCGAGCCGAAGUGAAGAACUUCUUUGAAGGGGUCAAAGCAAAGAAACAUCCACCUCCGGAGGAGAAGGUAGAUCCGGUGAAAACAAAGCGCACUCUGGCUGCCCUGACAAAACCACCAAAGUCUCCGCCAAAAGGCAACUAUGAGCGCGUUCUUGCAAAGGCAUAUGCCGAAGCGGAGCGGUCGGGAAGUACUGUCAGUGAUAAAAGGAUGAAAGAACGACGAGCUGGGAAAAAAAUUGCCCAGCUCGGCGAACAAGAGAACCAAUCGUGCCCCCCGCUCAAGGUGUCAAAAGACAUCGUCGCUAAUGAUCCGGGUAUGGUGCCCGGUUAUACCGAUCUUGGAGAUUACCUGCCCGACGAUGUACAUUAUGAAAUCAUGGAGGUGGACGAACACAAAUACCAUUACGGGAAGCCUCUCGUCAAAGAUGUCAAAUCUCUAAGCACGAUGAUGCGAAGACUACAUGAUUGGUACAUGAAAACCUGCAGAGAGUCUGAUGGGAUGAGUACUUUAACGCUGAGAGUGAAAUCGGAGCAUGACCUCGUUGGAAUUGAACUGCUGAAUGUUCCAUUUGAGGAUUUCUUCCAGUUUUACAAUCUAAAGUCCCUCGAUAAAACAACGAUCACUUGCUACUGUCUAUUGAAGAUCGCCGAAUUGAAGAAAAGACAAAUCGGUGAUAUUCGGUUCAUUAACACAAAUCUCAUAGAUGAUUAUCAGGUUAAAUUUCAUGCCAAAGAUAUCGAGGCCAACUUGCUACAAUCGUUGGUAAUAAAUCAAAACAAAGAUAUAAUACUCUUUCCUUACAACUUCAAUUUCCACUAUAUUCUCCUAGAGAUUAAGCUUGAGCCGGGAGUAGUAACCGUCUUAGACUUGAGACGAAAAGAUCCCCAGGACUAUGCGAACAUGACUCAAAUGCUCCAGAAGGUUUGGAGAAAAUUCACCUCAAAAGCCCCGGGACUGCCGAACCAGCUGCAAUUUAGACACCCGAAAUGGUUGUGGCAGCAACCCGGGAAUAAUUACUGUGGAUACUACAUUUGCGAGUCCAUCCGCUACCAUACCUGUGAGCGGGGCUACACUGAAGAACAAUAUGAAAUUUUUCGGAAGCGGGAUCAACUCCUAGCACCAGAUCAUAUGCGAGGAAUUCAAGAGGAAUUGGCGGCAUUCUUCCUUACCACGUGA
rnacentral:rRNA from 1 species